UCAAGAAGAGAAGCGCAAACGGUGGAUGCCUAGGCAGUAAGAGGCGAAGAAGGACGUGGAAUCCUGCGAAAAGCUCUGGGGAGUUGGAAACAAGCGUUAAUCCAGAGAUGUCCGAAUGGGGGAACCCGGCACUAGUGAUAGUGUCACUAUUACAUGAAUACAUAGUGUAAUAGGGCGAACUUGGGGAACUGAAACAUCUAAGUACCCAAAGGAAAAGAAAUCAAUUGAGAUUCUCUUAGUAGCGGCGAGCGAACGGGGAAGAGCCUGGUGUGAUUUAUGUUGUAGAGGAGUAGAAGCAUCUGGGAAGGUGCACCGUAGGGGGUAAUAGUCCCGUAUACGCAGGCUACGACAGGAACUAAGCACACGAACAAGUAGGUCGGGACACGUGAAAUCCUGAUUGAAGAUGGGUGGCCCAUCAUCCAAGGCUAAAUACUCCUUACUGACCGAUAGCGAACCAGUACCGUGAGGGAAAGGUGAAAAGAACCCCGGAGAGGGGAGUGAAAUAGAACCUGAAACCGUUUGCGUACAAGCAGUGGGAGCACGACUUUGGUUGUGUGACUGCGUACCUUUUGUAUAAUGGGUCAGCGAGUUACUUUCAGUGGCGAGGUUAACUGAAUAAGGAAGCCGUAGAGAAAUCGAGUCUGAAAAGGGCGCGAGUCGCUGGGAGUAGACCCGAAACCGGGCGAUCUAGCCAUGUCCAGGAUGAAGGUUGGGUAACACCAACUGGAGGUCCGAACCGGGUAAUGUUGAAAAAUUAUCGGAUGAGGUGUGGCUAGGAGUGAAAGGCUAAUCAAGCUCGGAGAUAGCUGGUUCUCCCCGAAAGCUAUUUAGGUAGCGCCUCGUGAAUGAUUACUGGGGGUAGAGCACUGUUUCGGCUAGGGGGCUGUCAUGGCUUACCAAACCGAUGCAAACUCCGAAUACCGGCUAAUUGAAUCACGGGAGACACACGGCGGGUGCUAACGUCCGUCGUGAAGAGGGAAACAACCCAGACCGCCAGCUAAGGUCCCGAAGUACUAGUUAAGUGGGAAACGAUGUGGGAAGGCAUAGACAGCCAGGAGGUUGGCUUAGAAGCAGCCACCCUUUAAAGAAAGCGUAAUAGCUCACUGGUCGAGUCGGCCUGCGCGGAAGAUGUAACGGGGCUAAAACUAGUCACCGAAGCUGCGGAUGUGUGCGAGUCACACGUGGUAGGGGAGCGUUCUGUAGGUCUGCGAAGGUGCAUUGAGAAGUGUGCUGGAGAUAUCAGAAGUGCGAAUGCUGACAUGAGUAACGAUAAAGAAGGUGAAAAACCUUCUCGCCGGAAGUCUAAGGUUUCCUGCACGACGUUAAUCGGAGCAGGGUGAGUCGGUCCCUAAGGCGAGGCUGAAGAGCGUAGUCGAUGGGAACCAGGUUAAUAUUCCUGGACUUUCUAUAAGUGCGAAGGGGGGACGGAGAAGGCUAGAUGAGCCAGGCGAUGGUAGUCCUGGUGCUUGCAUGUAGGUGGGUAGACCAGGCAAAUCCGGUUUACUAAUAACACUGAGGUGCGAAGCGGUUCUGACCCUACGGGGUGCGGAGAAGUCAUUAAUGCCCGGCUUCCAGGAAAAGCCUCUAAGCGACAGCUUAUAGAGAACCGUACCGUAAACCGACACAGGUGGACAAGUAGAGAAUACUAAGGCGCAUGAGAGAACUCGGGUGAAGGAACUAGGCAAAAUGGUACCGUAACUUCGGGAGAAGGUACGCCCUUGUUGGUGAGAUACUUGCGUAUGGAGCUGAUGAGGGCCGCAGAGACCAGGUGGCUGCGACUGUUUAUUAAAAACACAGCACUCUGCAAAUUCGUAAGAAGACGUAUAGGGUGUGACGCCUGCCCGGUGCCGGAAGGUUAAUUGAUGGGGUUAUCUUCGGAGAAGCUCCUGAUCGAAGCCCCGGUAAACGGCGGCCGUAACUAUAACGGUCCUAAGGUAGCGAAAUUCCUUGUCGGGUAAGUUCCGACCUGCACGAAUGGCGUAACGAUGGCCACACUGUCUCCACCCGAGACUCAGUGAAAUUGAAAUUGCGGUGAAGAUGCCGUAUACCCGCGGCUAGACGGAAAGACCCCGUGAACCUUUACUACAGCUUUGCACGGGACUUUGACAAUAACUGUGUAGGAUAGGUGGGAGGCUAAGAAGUCAGGACGCUAGUUCUGAUGGAGCCGACCUUGAAAUACCACCCUGUUGUUGUUGAGGUUCUAACUUGGACCAGUAAUCCUGGUUGAGGACAGUGUAUGGUGGGUAGUUUGACUGGGGCGGUCUCCUCCCAAAGAGUAACGGAGGAGCACAAAGGUACCCUCGGUACGGUCGGACAUCGUACCAAGAGUGUAAAGGCAAAAGGGUGCUUGACUGCGAGAGUGACGGCUCGAGCAGGUACGAAAGUAGGUCUUAGUGAUCCGGUGGUUCUGAAUGGAAGGGCCAUCGCUCAACGGAUAAAAGGUACUCCGGGGAUAACAGGCUGAUACCGCCCAAGAGUUCAUAUCGACGGCGGUGUUUGGCACCUCGAUGUCGGCUCAUCACAUCCUGGGGCUGUAGCAGGUCCCAAGGGUAUGGCUGUUCGCCAUUUAAAGUGGUACGCGAGCUGGGUUUAGAACGUCGUGAGACAGUUCGGUCCCUAUCUGCCGUGGGCGUAGGAAAAUUGAGAGGAGCUGCUCCUAGUACGAGAGGACCGGAGUGGACGAACCUCUGGUGUACCGGUUGUGACGCCAGUUGCAUUGCCGGGUAGCUAAGUUCGGACGGGAUAACCGCUGAAAGCAUCUAAGCGGGAAGCCUCCCUCGAGAUGAGUUUUCCCAUGAAGCCCGUUGAAGACGACGACGUUGAUAGGCGAGGUGUGGAAGCGCAGUAAUGUGUGAAGCUAACUCGUACUAAUUGGCUGAUUGUCUUGACCAU
rnacentral:rRNA from 1 species